rnacentral:pre_miRNA from 1 species
UCUGAGGUCAAAUUGGAAAAAGAAAUUCCAAUACCUGAAUCAAUGAACAUCUAGAAAACCCCAACUAUCCCUGCUACAAAAUUCCUAGCUGUGAGGUUGGUACCACUGGAUUUUCAAGUACAUGUCUUCAGUGAAUUGGGUUUCUGCAAGAACAAGAAAAUCCAUUUAUGGGUCACAACCAUUGAGUAGCUAGAGGCCUAUAAAAUCAACAUCUGAUAUUGGUACGAAUAAGCUACGUCGGUGCGUGCAUUUAAUAUCUAGUGGGUCAAGGUCAUACAUGAUUUAGAGAAAACAUCAUUAGAGAAUACAUAUUUGGAAACUCUGGAUGCUCACCGAUUCUGGUAUUGGAAUUUCAUUUUCUGAUUUGAAUCCAGAUG